GCCGAGGUGGCGGAACAGGCAGACGCGCUACGUUCAGGGCGUAGUGGGUGUAGCGCCCGUGGGGGUUCAAAUCCCCCCCUCGGCACAA
rnacentral:tRNA from 1 species